rnacentral:piRNA from 1 species
ACAUUGGUGAAAGGAGCAGAAGU